rnacentral:lncRNA from 1 species
ACGAGGAUGAAACUGACCUUGACAUAUUCAGUGAUAUAUCGUUAAACUCAAGAAGGCGCAGGCGGUUAAUGCAGUCUAGGUCAGAUGAGGAUCAGCAUUAGGCUGUUGAAUAGAACCUUGCUAAUUCUUGUGUUAGGCAUGAAUGCCCUGAUGAAGUCAAAUUGUGUAAAGGUUAGAUUAGUGGAAGUGGUUUUCUGUGACUAUGGCCUCUUAUGUAAAUUUCCAUAUGACCUUU